UACGGAGGGGGCUAGCGUUGUUCGGAAUUACUGGGCGUAAAGCGCACGUAGGCGGCCAUUUAAGUCAGAGGUGAAAGCCUGGAGCUCAACUCCAGAACUGCCUUUGAGACUGGAUGGCUAGAAUCUUGGAGAGGCGAGUGGAAUUCCGAGUGUAGAGGUGAAAUUCGUAGAUAUUCGGAAGAACACCAGUGGCGAAGGCGGCUCGCUGGACAAGUAUUGACGCUGAGGUGCGAAAGCGUGGGGAGCAAACAGGAUUAGAUACCCCCGUAGUCC
rnacentral:rRNA from 1 species